GAAUUCAAACACUGGAUGACCAAAAUAUGCGGGGUGCUGUUGCUUCUGGAGGCUACCCACCGACCGGAGUCAGUCUAGAUUAGCGUUCGAGUAGUUAAACACAGCUGUUGUGUGCAGUGAAUAUAGAACAAAGUUAAAGAUAAACCAUGCGGCUCAUCAUCUUGGACACGUCCGACUACGUCGGUGAAUGGUCGGCCAAGUACGUCAUGAAGCGUAUCAACGAUUUCAAACCGGGCCCGAGCCGGUUCUUCACCCUGGGCCUCCCAACGGGGUCCACGCCGCUGGGCCUAUAUCGCAAUUUGAUCAAAUUCCACCAGGAAGGCAAGAUUUCCUUCAAGUACGUGAAAACCUUCAACAUGGACGAGUACGUGGACCUGCCGCGGGACCAUCCCGAAAGCUAUCACUACUUCAUGUGGCACAACUUCUUCAAACAUAUCGACAUCGAUCCGGUCAAUGUGCACAUUCUGGAUGGAAACGCCCCGGAUCUGGUGGCCGAGUGCAACGCGUUCGAGGAUAAGAUCAAGGCUGCUGGCGGGAUAGAGUUGUUCAUCGGUGGCAUAGGACCGGACGGCCAUAUUGCGUUCAACGAACCGGGAUCGAGUUUGGUGUCGAGAACAAGGGUGAAAACGUUGGCACAGGACACACUGGAAGCCAAUGCACGGUUUUUCGGCAACGAUAUCAGUAAGGUGCCGAAGCAGGCACUAACGGUCGGAGUGGGCACGGUGAUGGAUGCCCGGGAGGUGAUGAUUUUGAUUAUUGGCGCACAUAAGGCCUUUGCGCUGUACAAGGCGAUCGAAGAGGGGGUGAAUCACAUGUGGACGGUCAGUGCCUUCCAGCAGCAUCCGCAUACGAUUAUGAUAUGCGACGAGGAUGCCACGCUGGAACUGCGGGUCAAGACUGUGAAGUAUUUUAAGGCCUUGAGCAACGUUCACCACAAACUGAUCGAGGAAGGCUCGACAGACGUAAGGAAACUGUGCAAGUGAGGUCAACGAGCAACUUUGGACAAACGAACCCUACUCGAGAGCUUCCGGAUAGUACAUUUCCUUUCCUAAUUUGCACUACCUUUACUCCCCCAUUUACCCUCAAACUGUAGUAUGUUAUAAAAACCCUUUGAUUCAAUGUGACUCCCUUUGACAAGUACGCUCUUACGUAUGCGAACUGUGCAUUGAAAGUGGGAUGUGCAUUUCGUUUGUACCUUGUGGGAUUGACCAUCAACACCAACUCCACCACCACCACCACCGCCAGCACAUCACCCAUUCAACUUACAGUUUCGGACGACCUAAAACAUCAAACGGAUUGCUACGUAUUGGCCGCUGCCAGUGGAGACCUUGAUGAUGCUACUCGGCCGAACUGAUGAGGCGUCUGACUGUGUGAUCCAUAUAUGUAGCACCCAAUCCACUGAAGGAGAUGGAGAGGGGGUGACUUUACGACACCCCCAAUCCGUGUCCUUUCGAACCAUCCCCCCAAGCUCAAGACGUAUUUGACCUUUGCCACAUCAACAUCAUUAUCAUCGUCCAUCGAUAUGGAAAAGCGGCCUUAUGAACCAGAACCUGACAGAAUAAUCACACACGAAGCAAGUGAGAGCCUGUACGACGUCCACUCGAAGCUGAUUGAAGGCACGUAGUAGAAGAACCAUAGAAAUAGAACCUUCCAGUUGGAGAUGGCCUGACGACGGUCAGCAGGAGUUGUGCUCUGUCCGGGCGAAUGAACAUCACACAUUUUAGCACUUUUUAUAGUCACUCGAAUCCAAAGGGUAGAAUUAACUUUUAUAAUUUGUGUUACGAUUUAAGUUUAGACGGUCCGUUUUCGUCCCUUACUCUUACUUAUGCCAGCAGCAAACAGCAGCUGGUGUAUGAUUUCUUUACAGCGAUAAUAAAGAUGGAAGUGCAUGGAAUUUU